CCAUAGCCCCGAUAGAAACAGCAUCCUUUUUUGUUUUCCUGAUGUAAUUCUUAUUGAUAAGAAAAACAUCGAAAACAAAAAAGAUAUAGUGGAUAGCGGGAUUAAGC
rnacentral:sRNA from 1 species